UACGAAGGGGGCUAGCGUUGCUCGGAAUCACUGGGCGUAAAGCGCACGUAGGCGGAUAUUUAAGUCGGUGGUGAAAUCCUGGAGCUCAACUCCAGAACUGCCUCCGAUACUGAAUGUCUUCGAGUCCGGGAGAGGUGAGUGGAACUGCGAGUGUAGAGGUGAAAUUCGUAGAUAUCGGGAGGAACACCUGUGGCGAAGGCGGCCAUCUGGACGUUCACUGACGCUGAGACGCGAAAGCGUGGGUAGCAAACAGG
rnacentral:rRNA from 1 species